rnacentral:rRNA from 1 species
UACGUAGGGGGCUAGCGUUGUCCGGAAUCAUUGGGCGUAAAGCGUGUGUAGGCGGAUCGUUAAGUGCCUUGUGAAAUCCCACGGCUCAACCGUGGAACUGCUUGGCAUACUGGCGGUCUUGAGCAACCUAGGGGCGAGCGGAACAAAUGGUGGAGCGGUGAAAUGCGUAGAUAUCAUUUGGAACGCCAAUGGUGAAAACAGCUCGCUGGGGGUUUGCUGACGCUGAGACACGAAAGCCAGGGGAGCAAACGGG